CCUACGGGAGGCAGCAGUGGGGAAUAUUGCACAAUGGGGGAAACCCUGAUGCAGCGACGCCGCGUGAGUGAAGAAGGAUUUAGGGAUGGAAAGCUCUAUCAGUAGGGGAGAAAAGGAAGGUACCUGAUUAAGAAUCCCCGGCUUACUCCGUGCCAGCAGCCGCGGUAAUACGUAGGGGGCAGGCGUUAUCCGGAUUUACUGGGUGUAAAGGGAGCGUAGUCGGCAGCAUAAGUCUGGAGUGAAAUGUCGGGGCUUAACCCCGAAACUGCUUUGGAAACUGUGCAGCUAGAGUGCAGGAGAGGUAAGUGGAAUUCCUAGUGUAGCGGUGAAAUGCGUAGAUAUUAGGAGGAACACCGGUGGCGAAGGCAGCUUACUAGACUGUAACUGACGUUGAGGCUCGAAAGCGUGGGGAGCAAACAGGAUUAGAUACCCUUGUAGUC
rnacentral:rRNA from 1 species